rfam:Cricetulus griseus cell line CHO-K1, whole genome shotgun sequence.
UGGCUCAGUGAUUAAGAGCAUUGGCUGCUCUUCCAAAGGACCUGGGUUCAAUUCCCAG